AACGAACGCUGGCGGCAUGCCUAACACAUGCAAGUCGAACGAGACCUUCGGGUCUAGUGGCGCACGGGUGCGUAACGCGUGGGAACCUGCCCUUAGGUUCGGAAUAACUCCCCGAAAGGGGUGCUAAUACCGGAUAAUGUCUUCGGACCAAAGAUUUAUCGCCUUUGGAUGGGCCCGCGUUGGAUUAGCUAGUUGGUAGGGUAAAAGCCUACCAAGGCGACGAUCCAUAGCUGGUCUGAGAGGAUGAUCAGCCACACUGGGACUGAGACACGGCCCAGACUCCUACGGGAGGCAGCAGUGGGGAAUAUAGGACAAUGGGCGAAAGCCUGAUCCAGCAAGGCCGCGUGAGUGAUGAAGGCCUUAGGGUUGUAAAGCUCUUUUACCCGGGAUGAUAAUGACAGUACCGGGAGAAUAAGCUCCGGCUAACUCCGUG
rnacentral:rRNA from 1 species